UAUAAACAUUUUGCCAGUGGAUCAAUACCUGUAUUGAUCAACCAUUGUGAGAGUGAUCCGUCUAAAACCCCGAGCAGCCUAGAGCUCAGAGAUGGGAGGAGCGAAAGAGAGAGGGCUGCAGAGAGGAUGGAGAAAGAGAGAGAGUCCGCAGCCACGGUGAAAGGGAGAAGAGGUACAAGGGAAGAGAAGCGAAUCUGAGAGCGAAGCAGCUUCCGAGCUGAAGGCAGGUGGGGAGGCAGGUUUUCGGACAGCGCUGCCAGGCCACUGGGACUGGGGAGAAGCUCAUGGUAAUUGCUUUCUCAUUAAGGGAGGGAGGGUGAGGGCGACUAAUGACUACGGCUUUAAGUAUGCGAGUAAUUGACGGAUGGAGAAAUAGUGCGAAGAAAUGUAUAUGCGGGUAACAAAGGGGGUGAUUCCCACAUCUGAGGUCGCUAAUGCCUGCACUUGUUUGGCCUGCUGUGUUGCACUGUCAGGUACAUUGUUUUUGUGAUUGUAUGCAGGUGCGAGUGUUAAGGGCUCUGAGUGUGUCAUGAGGUGGGCAGAGUAAUAAAGUGCAUGAUGAAAACAUCUGUUCUCCUCAUUUUGUCACUAAUUUCAUUGUAUUUUUCUUUGUUUCUAUUACAUCAGGAGGAACUCAAGCUCAUCGACAGAAGCUUGGUGACAUCAUGGGACUGAGAAGGCCUCGCUAAAGAUGCUGGGUCAUGAGUUCAGCUGCUGCAGUAAAAUCAAAACUGGAAAUUCCCUGAAAAACUCAAAGACCAAGAGGGAGACAAGUAGCUACACCCUGGAUAUAAACAUUCAUGGAUGAAGUAAAAGGAUGGAAUAAUCCAAAACCAACGCUGAAUUCAAAUUCUUGAUUUUUGCUGUUGGGGAAAAAGCUUGCUUUGGGAUGUUGUUGACAUUUUUUAAGAUUUACUGGAUUGAAUUAAAUUUUUUGAAUUUUCUUGAUUUUUUUUUUUUUUUUUUCUAAGGAGAAAACUGACUGGACCGCUCAACGAAAGCAACGGAUGUUCACUUCAAGGCCCCAAGCUGUGCUUGUCAGGAGGAGGAGUCAGAAAGCUCUUGGGAUCACCUCCAAAUGCAAAGGGGAAAUCAAGUUUCUAUUGAUUGAUUUUAAUGUGAUUUAACUGCAUAAUGGUGGAUUUUGGGGACGAUUGAUUCCUCGCAACUGUGGAGGAUAAUCUCAACACUCAUCAACCUACAGCGCACUUGAGAUGCAGAGACAAAAAAAAGAGGCCUACACUGUUCAUGUUCAUUCACCGGUGCAAACAUGCAGUCUGUGAAUGGACAUCGUAUACCGGGAAUAUGAAGUGCUCUUAGAGGGUUUUGCCUAAUAAACUGUUAAACAACCUGUGAGGAUGCCUAAUGCAACACUAUAGUAACACUAAGUUUACGGCAGUAACAGUGUUUAUAGGAAUAUGCUAAUCUGGCAGUUUAUUUAUUUAUUUUUGAAACUGGAGAAACAACACGAGAAGACUACUGUGGGUUUUUAAUCUUUUUGUCCAAUGAGGUGCAUAACAUGCAACAGUUCUAUUAACACUAUUGAGUGGGAAACAGCCCCUGACUCUAGACAUGGCAUAAACCACCAGUUUUAAAACAAACUGAGCUUAGCUGGAGGUGACCAACUUAUCUGAGUAAAGACAAGAAGAUAUAUCACAGCACAAGCUGCAUUAAAGGGAUAUUCCGGCAUAAAUUUAAGUCAUAGUUAAACACAUCAUAACACUGAGUUAGACACCCCCUCGAGAU